GAUGAACGCUAGCGGCAGGCCUAAUACAUGCAAGUCGAACGGAUAUAUGUUUUUCGGAAUAUAUAUUAGUGGCGCACGGGUGAGUAACACGUACAUAACUUGCCCUCAAGCGGGGGAUAGCCUUGGGAAACUGAGAGUAAUACCCCAUAGAAUUAUUGGACGGCAUCGUUUGAUAAUUAAAACUACGGUGUUUGGGGAUAGAUGUGCGUCUGAUUAGCUAGUUGGUGAGGUAACUGCUCACCAAGGCGACGAUCAGUAGGGGGCGUGAGAGCGUGGCCCCCCACACGGGUACUGAGACACAGACCCGACUCCUACGGGAGGCAGCAGUAAGGAAUAUUGGUCAAUGGAGGGAACUCUGAACCAGCCAUGCCACGUGAAGGAUGACGGCCCUCUGGGUUGUAAACUUCUUUUGGAUGGGGCGAAAAAACGGGAUUUAUCCUGGACUGACGGUACCAUCAGAAUAAGCACCGGCUAACUCCGUG
rnacentral:rRNA from 1 species